UACGGAGGGUGCGAGCGUUGUCCGGAUUUAUUGGGUUUAAAGGGUGCGUAGGCGGCUCCUUAAGUCCGGGGUGAAAGCCCGUUGCUCAACAACGGAACUGUCCUGGAUACUGAGGAGCUUGAGUACAGACGAGGUUGGCGGAAUGGACAGAGUAGCGGUGAAAUGCAUAGAUACUGUCCAGAACCCCGAUUGCGAAGGCAGCUGACUAGGCUGUUACUGACGCUGAGGCACGACAGCGUGGGGAGCGAUCAGG
rnacentral:rRNA from 1 species